rnacentral:snoRNA from 1 species
GUGUCAGUGAUGAAAUCUUUGUUUUGUCUCUACAGAGGUGUUGUCUUAAAAGUCUUGCACAAUAGAGUUAUACUAAGGUCC